rnacentral:rRNA from 1 species
UUUGGAUUUUAAAUUUUCUCGAAUUUAUAAGAGCUAAGAAUAUAUAGAUUUUAAUGUAGAAAAAUUAUUUAGAAUAUAUUUUUUGAUAUUAUACGUUAGUCGGGUAUAAAUAUAUCUAGUUUUUUAAGAAAUUAAUUUAAUUAAGCUAAUUAUAGGGGUGAUUUAUUUUAUAAAUAGACCUAAUGAUUAAGUAAUAUUUAAGGGGAUAAGCUUUUAAGUAGAAUUUUAUAAGAAUUAUAUAAUUUAAAGUUGAAUAGGAAUAGAAGUUUUCAUUUUUUGUAGUGUUUUAUAUCAAGACUUUAGUUUAGGUGAUUUAUUUUUUUUUAGUUUGUUUAUUAAAAUAUUAAAGUUAAUUUUAUGAUUUUAAGUAAUAAUGAUAGAAUUAGUAUAGGAAUUUGUUUAAAUGUUUAUAAGUGUAAAUUUUAAUUAAGGAAUUCGGCAAAUAUAUUUUCUGCCUGUUUAUUAAAAACAUGGCUUUUUGGAAAUAAUUUAAGGUCAGGCCUGCCCCAUGAUUAAUUAAAUGGCCGCGGUACUCUGACCGUGCAAAGGUAGCAUAAUCAUUAGUUUUUUAAUUGAAAGCUGGAAUGAACGGUCUUACAAGAAAAUUACUGUCUCAGUUGAAUGAUUUAGAAUUUUAUUUUUUAGUAAGAAAGCUAAAAUGGUUUUAGGGGACGAGAAGACCCUAUAGAAUUUUAUAAGUUUUUUUAGAUUGUGUUUUUGGUUUUAUUAUUUUGGUUUAAGAGAACUUAUUUUGUUGGGGUGAUUGGAAAAUUUAAUAAACUUUUUUUUUAUAUAAUUACUAAUGUGUAUAUUUGUGAUCCGUUUUUUACGAUUAAAAGAAUAAAUUACCUUAGGGAUAACAGCGUAAUUAGUUUGGAGAGUUCUUAUCGAUAAAUUAGUUUGCGACCUCGAUGUUGGAUUAAAAUUAACUUUUGGUGUAGGGGCUAAAAGGUUGAGUCUGUUCGACUUUUAAAAUU